UUAAAAGAGAGUUCCCCGUGGUGCUCAUGGGCCAGGGGAAAGGAAUUUGUUUGGGGUGGAGAGUAGAAUCAGUCCUGCUUGGGGGUUCCUGCUGUGUUCUUGUGCCCUGGGAAAUAACGAAGUAUGAGAAAAUGAGUAAGAAUCAUACUUGAAGAGCCCUACAUGGGGCCUCUGGCUGCUGGUCAGGGGCUUGGUUUCUGCCUGUGCGUGUAUCCAAGAAAUUGUGUAGGCGUGAGUUUCAACAGUGACACUGUGUGGUAGCAGGAAUCCGUGGCCGAGAGAAUCCCCGGCGGUUCUGAACUGAACAGACUCCAGUUCCUCUAUGCCUGAUUCUUUACAAAACAUCCAGAUGUCCAGCUUCUGAUGAAAAUUAGAAUAUCUGGGAACAGUGAGUUGACAUUCCCAUCUGGCGACUGUCCGCAGGGACUGAAUGAAAAACACCAACCUGAAGCCAGUGAAGCAAAGAGGAAAGUAUCAUCUGGGCCUGCUCUGAGGGCAGAUGCAGCCUCUCGAGUUUUCGACGGAUUUUGCAGAGUUUCUAAGAAAACAAAUCCAGGAUAGCCUCCUUGAUGACAAGAGACUCAUGGCCCAGUCAUCUCUAUCACCUUUACUGAGAGCAGGCCAACUACCAGAUGAAUGAAGAAGUGAAUCCAAACCUAGAAGUGGAAAUUAAAAAAAAAAGUCCCAAUCAUCACUUUGGGAGCUAAGAUGUCCAAGUGUCACAAAAGAGAAUUUCUCAAUGAGGAACUGGCCAGCAAGGGAGAAAAAUACCCUUUAAAAAUACUUCCUGCUAGAAGUCAAAUGGUAGGCAAACAAGA